rnacentral:rRNA from 1 species
UGGGGAAUUUUGGACAAUGGGGGAAACCCUGAUCCAGCCAUCCCGCGUGUGCGAUGAAGGCCUUCGGGUUGUAAAGCACUUUUGGCAGGAAAGAAACGUCAUGGGUUAAUACCCCGUGAAACUGACGGUACCUGCAGAAUAAGCACCGGCUAACUACGUGCCAGCAGCCGCGGUAAUACGUAGGGUGCAAGCGUUAAUCGGAAUUACUGGGCGUAAAGCGUGCGCAGGCGGUUCGGAAAGAAAGAUGUGAAAUCCCAGAGCUCAACUUUGGAACUGCAUUUUUAACUACCGGGCUAGAGUGUGACAGAGGGAGGUGGAAUUCCGCGUGUAGCAGUGAAAUGCGUAGAUAUGCGGAGGAACACCGAUGGCGAAGGCAGCCUCCUGGGAUAACACUGACGCUCAUGCACGAAAGCGUGGGGAGCAAACAGG